AGCUCAGUUGGUAGAGCAACCGCCUUGUAAGCGGUAGGUCGUCAGUUCGAAUCCGACA
rnacentral:tRNA from 1 species